UAGGGGGCGAGCGUUGUCCGGAAUGAUUGGGCGUAAAGGGCGCGUAGGCGGUCUGAUAAGUCUGGAGUGAAAGUCCUGCUUUCAAGGUGGGAAUUGCUUUGGAUACUGUCGGGCUGGAGUGCAGGAGAGGUAAGCGGAAUUCCCGGUGUAGCGGUGAAAUGCGUAGAGAUCGGGAGGAACACCAGUGGCGAAGGCGGCUUACUGGACUGUAACUGACGCUGAGGCGCGAAAGCGUGGGGAGCAAA
rnacentral:rRNA from 1 species